rnacentral:sRNA from 1 species
UAUUAAAAAUUAAUGGUGGUGUACGGUUCUACGUUCAGCAGCUAGCGCGUCUCGCAGUUUCUCGCCAGAGUGAAUUUCAAUUUUCAAUUCCAGAAAAUACAUCUCAGAAGGGAGGCCAAGCGAAUUUCGGAAAUAACGACGGUGUGUUGAGUAAACUAAAUCAAAGUGACAAAUAACCGGGGUUUCAUAACAACAACAACAACAGCAACAACAAUAAUAAUAAUUACAAAAAAAAAAGAAAAGAAAACAACAAAUAGCAGAUACAACAACAAGAAGCAAUAACCACAUCCACAAAAGCGACAGCCACUAAAAGUUAUAUCCGAGAAUAAAGGCAAUUGGCAAUUGGCGAAUUGCAAAUGCAAAUUUAAAGUGUGCGAACGAGUCGAUAAAGAGAGAAAGAAGGAAGCAGUGUGCUAAGGCAAAAGCAAGGAACAGAUUCACUCACAGAAAAAAACCAAAACCAAAACCCAAUUGUUAAAAAACGUGUAAUAACAAUCCGGCAGCGGUGAAUCAAUCCGAUUCUGGUUCCAAUUUCGAUCUACGACCGCAGAGCAGAACAGCAGAAAACGCCGAGCACCAGAAAGUAAUACAUCCAAUCAUCCGUAAAUGCAUCAGCUAAGCAACAGUAUUUUUGCUCAACAAUUGGACAGAAAACACAAGGAAUAAUACAGUAGAAGCCGUGAUUAUUGGUUGCAUUUUUGGAGGGAGAACACAGCGAGCUUAAGCCAACAACGUAGUGCGAACAGUGCAACAGAAAACCACCUAAUUUUGAUCUAGAGAACUAUAAACCACAAGCAGAGUAGCCAAAACCCCCACAUAUGUAGUGCAAGUGUCGAUCAUCUAUGAUUGAUACCUAAAUAUAGAGAGAUAGAGAGUUAUAUUUACAAACAAACACCACCUAGACGACAGGUGACCCCCCAAAAAGACAAGCCAGAAACAGGAACAGACACUGCUGAGGCACUGACCGCGCUACACGGUCACAUCCAGAUACAUCUUCAUCUGCACGGAGCCACUAAAGCCAGCAAAAUAGAUACCAUGGAGGACAAUAACACGAGCAGCAGUGCGGGCGGUGCGUCCAUCAAACAGGAGGAUCCAUCUGUGACACUCACAAUAAGGCUGAUUAUGCAAGGGAAGGAAGUUGGUAGUAUUAUUGGUAAAAAGGGUGAAAUUGUGCACAGAUUUCGUGAAGAG